CCCUAACAGUAGCCUAUAAUAUUUUAUUUAUACAAAUAGCCAAUACCUGUGUGUAUAAUUUUUCACAAUAUUUUAUUUAUAUACAAUUAGCCGAUAUGAUAUACAAGUAGCCAAUGAUAUAUAAUAAUGCGUAUUACCGCAUUAACUAACAUUAAUUAAGGAUUCGUUCAUUAUUCAUGUACCCUUAUUGUAGAGUGUAACCCACAAACAUUAACAUUGUGCAACAACAAGGCUAGUAAACAUCUUAGACACACAUUUCGCUGACUGUCGUCUGUGAUCCACAUCCAAGAACUCAAACAAAGAGGCCGAAGCGUCUGCGGUUAUUUGUGCGAUAAAGAUUUAUUGUUGAAAAUAAGUGGUUCAGACUUCUUAAGGAUCACUUGGAGACCACAGAUCCGUCAAAGUCGUACAAAUAAAAAAACAAACCAACAAACACCUGUGGCCUGAGUUUGGCCAUUAAUACGAUUCAGAAGGACAUUGGUUCCUGUAAGGAAAGUUUGUACCGUAGCGGACAUACGGUAGUACCGGCAGUGUUGCCAGAUUGGGCUAGAUUUCCCUCCUAAUCUGGCAACGCUGGUAACAAAAGUGUUGCCAGAUUGGGCGGGCAAUAUGUCCCAAUCUGGCAACGCUGAGUAUCGGCGUAGGUAUCAAAUGAUCCCUUCCGUACUAGUAAAGGACGUUUUACUCCUUUGUAAGUAUUCAUUGAUUGAUGUAUUUAUUAAUCUAGCUAUAUCGAUCGAUCCAUACAUUGAUUGUGUCAUUUUUAAAGCACACCUUUUACUCAAAACAUGCACGCAUCAUUCGCAAUAUGCAUUUCUUUUUUUGUUGUUGUACUUUAAGGUAUAUUCCCCCUAAUGCUACAGUCCGGUUUUGACAUUUAUUUUUGACAUUCAUUCCUUCAUUCAUUGUUAGGCAAAGGUAAAGUCAAAGAAAGACCCCUUCUGCAGAGUUUACAUCCUUCCACACACUCUGUGUUUGAUUGGUCUUGCCUGGCAAAAGGCACGCAAUCCAAUUAUCCCUGCCAAAAUACAAACUUUGCCCCCUUUCCUCUCCCCAAUCGCUCUCCUUCUCCCCCA
ensembl:lncRNA